GGGGCUAUAGCUCAGCUGGGAGAGCGCCUGCUUUGCAAGCAGGAGGUCGUCGGUUCGAUCCCGUCUAGCUCCACCA
rnacentral:tRNA from 3 species